ACCACGGUAGUCUAGCGGUUAGAACGCUGGCCUUGUAAUCCUGGGGUCUCGGGUUCGAUUCCCGGCGGUG
rnacentral:tRNA from 1 species